rnacentral:lncRNA from 1 species
CUAAAAUAGAACACAUCAAUCCAGGGGAAAUAUUAUUCUGAAAUAUUUCCUUGAGGGGAAUAGAUUCUGUCAUUAUAACCAGUCACAGACAUGUACUCCAAUUUCUUCUUUGCAGUUGUACGACUACUCAUGUCCUGAAUACAAAUAAAGGACUGGUUCAAGUACUGCUGCCACUUCUAGUUUCAGAAGAACCUAAUCAUGUUGAGGGCAGAUACUGCUUCAUUUCUUGUUUUUUAUGCCAAAUCCAGUACAAAGCAUGAAAUAAGCAGGUCUACAUCUGCCAGGAUUAAAGGCAAUUCAGUUAUGAAGGCAAUAUGGUAAUAUAUCUGACUGUGAAAAAGUAAGCAGUAGAGAAACUAAAUAAGGGGGUGGAUUUUUUUCAUCUUGAGAAACUUAAUCUACAUAGGUGUCUUUCUCCUUUAAAGGCCAAGAAAUGAACUGAGG